rnacentral:lncRNA from 7 species
GGAAAUGGGUGCUUCUAAGCAGAGCUGAAUGCUGCCGUCAGAUCCUCUUCUCUGAAGAGAGUAUCACUGAGGAACAGCUUGAGAUAAGCACUGUGAACCAAAAGAGAGAUCCCGAUGGCUGUCAGAUCAGUGGUAAAGGAGAAACUGCCAGAAUAGCUGCCAGAGGAGAAAGAUAAUCAGGGGUGAGACAUCUUCCUGGAAGACACAGGCUUUUUGGUGUAUGACGUGCUGUUGUCCUGAACUGCCUCAAAACGUCAGUGAGAUGAUGCACCAUAAGGUGCUUUCAACUUUGAAAUCUAAUCUCGGUCUUUAAUCAGAUGUAAGGUCUAAUAUUAGAUAAAAUGU